rnacentral:rRNA from 1 species
UACGAAGGGGGCUAGCGUUGUUCGGAAUUACUGGGCGUAAAGCGCACGUAGGCGGAUAUUUAAGUCAGGGGUGAAAUCCCAGAGCUCAACUCUGGAACUGCCUUUGAUACUGGGUAUCUUGAGUAUGGAAGAGGUAAGUGGAAUUGCGAGUGUAGAGGUGAAAUUCGUAGAUAUUCGCAGGAACACCAGUGGCGAAGGCGGCGAUCUGGGUCGAAACUGACGCUGAGGUGCGAAAGCGUGGGGAGCAAACAGG